UAAUUCUAACUUCUAACCAUAUGAUUUUGGAACCAGAACAGAGUAGUUAUCUAUAGAUAACCAACAAAUAAUUAAAGAGAAAUGGUAAACCAACAUAUAAAACUCAGAUAACAAUAACACAUACACACCCUUUACACCUGAAAAGCCAAAAGAUCAUACAUCUUUGUUUCAAGGACCACAAAGAGGCUAUAUCAUAAGAUUAGGUAAAAUUAUUGGAUGAUGAGACGUCUGGUGCAAAGGGUACAGUAGUAUCUGCGUUUAGUCUUGAAAUAAUAAGGGACAAAGCAGAAUCUCCACUGACUCUCCAUGUCCACGGCUUGAACCAUCCCUCCGCAGUAAGGACAAGCUCCUGGAGCUGCCUGUCUUUGUAACACCCUCUCAUCUUCAUCACAUACAAACACCAAACACAUAUUUGGGGCACUAGUGACAAUUAUAACGAGACCAAAACUCUCUGAGGCAAGUCUACUGCAGCCACAACCUUAAUUUUAGCUUCAAUAGCAGUUGUUGCGUAUAUACCAGAUUUGCUGCAAAACUUGUGGCAAUUAAAGAAACUUAGAUCACUAGGAAGUAACAGAGAUAUGGCAGAAUAGAGUCACAAAGGUGGGGUUGUUGGGAUUAAGAUUAAGCAUAUAUAUUCGAAA
rnacentral:misc_RNA from 1 species